rnacentral:rRNA from 1 species
GUCUACGGCCAUGCCACCCUGAACAUGCCCAAUCCCGUCUGAUCUUGGAAGCUAAGAAGGGUUGGGCCUGGUUGGUACUUGGGUGGGAGACCACCUAGGAAUACCAGAUGCUGUAGGCU